CUCCAAUUUAGAUAUCUACAAUUGAAACAUUUUUACGAUUCGCAACCACACAAAGAUCGAUUGCACAGGGACCUCACGUGGUUUGAAGGCCUCUGUGACCAAGGCACCACAAUAGAACAUGCAAUCUCGGCACUAUAUCAACAUCAACAUCUACUAAUCGGAGGCACGCCUACGGCUACAAUGUUCAAACGGCAAUAGGAAGAACAACUUGGAAUAUCACUCACAACACAGCAAUGGGACACGGUGUUGCUCUGGCAGCAUAAGAG